GACAGAGGGUGCAAACGUUUGUUCGGAAUUACUGGGCGUAAAGCGUGUGUAGGCGGCCAUGUAAGUCGGAUGUGAAAGCCCCGGGCUUAACCCGGGAAGUGCAUUCGAUACUGCGUGGCUUGAGUAUCGGAGAGGUUGGUGGAAUUCUCGGUGUAGAGGUGAAAUUCGUAGAUAUCGAGAGGAACACCGGUGGCGAAGGCGGCCAACUGGACGAAUACUGACGCUGAGACACGAAAGCGUGGGGAGCAAACAGG
rnacentral:rRNA from 1 species